GUGGGCAUGUGCAGGUGUGAGAUUUACAGAGAAUCGUGGUAGAGUGGGGCUAACUUGGGAGAUUUAUCGUUGGGAAAAUUACUCAAAUGCUAAGAGAAAUGCAGGAGCAGGGGAUCUCCCAGAGAGCUCAACUGUGUUAAAUUUGGCAAUUCAAAGGUCAGGGAGAGGGGCUUCCCAAAGGUUAUGAGGCAGGCGGAGACUUUGCAGAAGUAGAUUCUGUGGGAUUGGGGAAGGAGAACUAUUAGGGACUGUUUGAAACACAUUGGCAUUUAGAUGUGGGUCAGCUCUUACGUCUCUGGCUGUUUCACGAUUGUGUCUAUAUUGUCCCUUAACAUCCCCUCUCUUACGCUGUCUGUCCCUAUGCCUCACCUCUGUGGCCUUGGUUCUGUGAAGCUCAGGGAUGUGGCCACUGUGUUCUGCUUGCCUCCAGGUUCCUCAGUCCUGCUACCUGACA
rnacentral:lncRNA from 1 species